AGGACGAACGCUGGCGGCGUGCCUAACACAUGCAAGUCGAACGGGGGUAGCAAUACCCUAGUGGCGAACGGGUGCGUAACACGUGAAGAACUUGUCCAUCGGCGGGGGAUAGCCGGCCCAACGGCCGGGUAAUACCGCGUACGCUUGUCGAGUGGCAUCACUUGACAAGGAAAGCAGCAAUGCACCGAUGGAGAGCUUCGCGGCCUAUCAGCUUGUUGGCGGGGUAAUGGCCCACCAAGGCAACGACGGGUAGCUGGUCUGAGAGGAUGAUCAGCCACAUUGGGACUGAGACACGGCCCAGACUCCUACGGGAGGCAGCAGUGGGGAAUAUUGCGCAAUGGGCGAAAGCCUGACGCAGCGACGCCGCGUGUGGGAUGACGGCCUUCGGGUUGUAACCACUGUCGCGAGGGACGAAAAAUGACGGUACCUACGAAGGAAGCGACCGGCUAACUCUGUGCCAGCAGCCGC
rnacentral:rRNA from 1 species